UUACAUUUUAAUGUAAAUAGCAUAUUAAUUUUUGGAGUUAAAAGGUCUUAUUAGGCUAAGAAAAUGUA
rnacentral:tRNA from 1 species